rnacentral:rRNA from 1 species
GAUGAACGCUGGCGGCGUGCCUAAUACAUGCAAGUCGAGCGAUGGCGCUUGGAGCUUGCUCCAAUUUGGAGAGCGGCGAACGGGUGAGUAACGCGUGGAGAAUCUGCCUUUGAGCCGGGGACAACAUCUGGAAACGACUGCUAAUACCGCAUAAUAACUUUAACCAUAUGUUUCAAGUUUGAAAGACGCAAUUGCAGCACUCAAUAGAGGUCCCCCGUUUUCUUAGCUAGUUGGUAAGGUAAAGGCCCACCAAGGGAAACGUACAUAGCCGACCGGGGAGGGUGACCGGCCACACUGGAACGGAGACACGCCCCAGACUCCUACGGGAGGAAGCGGUGGGGAUCUUUGGGCAAGGGGGGAAAGCCGGACGCAGCAAGCCGGCGUGGGUGAAGAAGGUCUCGGGAUGGUAAACUCCGUUUGUAGGGAAAAAAGAUAGGGAGAGUUAAAAGCGCAUAAAGUGACGGUACCUAAACAGAAAGCGACGGCUAACUACGUG